GCGCUAUAUGCAAAUUUAACGGAGUUCACGUCAAUGAAAGCAAUAUGCACUUCAUUUUAUUCAUUAUCAGCUAUUUCAAUAUCAGAGAUAGCAACAGGAGAGCGCGGCAUCAACACUGGAAAGAUAGAUUAAGGUAGCCUGAAGCAAAACCCUCUGCUAAAAAAUGUUAGCAAAAAAGAAGUUAAGACAGCCCUUAGCAAAUGGUUCGCCAACACCAGGGACAGGGAUGGCAACCGCACCUUGCGAGCCCAGCGGGACCUUGAACGGAGUCACAAAAACAUUGCGGAGCAAAGAGGACACUGACAACGCACCAACAGAAAAGACAGAGCAGG